GAUGAACGCUGGCGGCGUGCCUAAUACAUGCAAGUCGAGCGAACGGACGAGAAGCUUGCUUUUCUAAUGUUAGCGGCGGACGGGUGAGUAACGCGUGGAUAACCUACCUAUAAGACUGGGAUAACUUCGGGAAACCGGAGCUAAUACCGGAUAAUAUUUUGAACCGCAUGGUUCAAAAGUGAAAGACGGUCUUGCUGUCACUUAUAGAUGGAUCCGCGCUGCAUUAGCUAGUUGGUAAGGUAACGGCUUACCAAGGCAACGAUGCAUAGCCGACCUGAGAGGGUGAUCGGCCACACUGGAACUGAGACACGGUCCAGACUCCUACGGGAGGCAGCAGUAGGGAAUCUUCCGCAAUGGGCGAAAGCCUGACGGAGCAACGCCGCGUGAGUGAUGAAGGUCUUCGGAUCGUAAAACUCUGUUAUUAGGGAAGAACAUAUGUGUAAGUAACUGUGCACAUCUUGACGGUACCUAAUCAGAAAGCCACGGCUAACUACGUG
rnacentral:rRNA from 1 species